CAGAAGAGGGGCAAAAUAAAUUCUGACAACAGGGGAAAGUUAGAAGUGAACCACGUAGCUGGUUCAAAGUCAUUUGUAUGACUUUGUCAUAACAUGCGAGAUUCCGUCAUUGGCUAGGAGCCCGGACCAGUAGACUUUUACAGAAGGACUAAUUGUCGGCAGGCGACGGGAUCUUGGGUACAUCAUAGAGCCAGCGAGAUUUGGGAGGAGAUGAACACCUUAUGCAGUCAGCCCACUCCUGAUGGUACUCAGUGGAGUGAGCCAGAGAUCCUGAGUCAGGUGCUUGACACCAGUUCUGGAUAUAUGCGUGGGCUUGGCCAUGGUGCCAAGCUCAUGGCACCCGUUAGACCUGCCUCCAGCCGAUCCAUCAUCGUUGGCGACAGCGCCGUACGCCAAGCUAAUACCACAGAGAGAGAGGUUCAGCAGCUACGGGUCAUCGUCGAUGACAUCAGAGAUCAGUUGGACAGGCAGAGGAAGGAGUAGGAGAGGAGGAUGGAGGAGAUGCGGGUGGAGCAUGAGCGACGGAUGACGGAGAUGUUUCAGGCUCUCGUUGCACGCUUACCCAUCGAUGCCCCACCACCUCCGCCUUUAUCUUUGUGAUUUUUUGUAUAUUUGUUUAUGAUGUUAAGUUUAUAUGUAUUUAUGCGUGAAUGAAUGUGAUGUGGAUAAGAUUGUUUGUGUUUGGAUAAAUGUAGUUUAUGGUUGGAUGGAUUUAGUAGUUUGGGUUUAGAUGGAUGUAAAUGUGAAUAUGA